UAGUGGUAACAGCAGAACGACUAAGAGCGCUGGAGUAUUUUGGGGCAGGCCUGGGUAGGAGAUAUUUCCUCCUGAGGACCCGAGCCCAAGGUCUGUCAUCACUCUUGAGUCUCAAAGCAAACUUGCCUAGGAGAGCGAUGUUUCGACCUUUAGUAGGGGGUUAUCAGUCGAUCCCCAAAUAAAAUUAUGAGCAAGACAAUCAAGGGAAUUGCAAAAUAGUUUGUGGGAGGAGGGUACAUUGCAUGAUAUGAGAUGGGAUAGAGGCAAGAACAAAGUUUGCAAGAGUGACCCUCCCGGCCAUUGACAGAGAAUUCGCUUUCCAACCGGUGAGUUUAUCUUUGAAUUUAUCAAUUAAGAAAUGGAAAGUGGAAAAGGGCCUAGGAGACAUGUCCAGACCAUGGGGAAGCCUAAGCAUUUUCUAAGAGUCGGUGCUUCCGAGAUCUCCAAAGUAUCAAGAACAAAGUUUUUUAACCGAGAGAAUUAACACCAAGCGGGGGUCGGGGAUCUGCUUCGUUGCCUUCCUCCCGAAUUGGAAUUAACACCAACCACGGAUGCACGCCUCGUGGCAUGAGUAGCGGCAGAUUCGGGCACGUGUCGCCCACCAUUGAACCCAGUGGGAAGUCCCUGAAGAAGUGUCAAGCCCUCCGAUGCAUAGUGUUCUAUCUUAAUGGUGCCAUGCUCCUCAUUUUCGCGAGGGCAGUCUCCAUGAGUUGCUCGCAUGAGUUGGUUUUCCUUCACGUCCCCCGAUCUGUCUACAGAGGAUGAAUUGUUAGGGUUUGACCCAUUUUCAGGGAUGGAGAGUAAAGGUACAGAAGAUAAGGCACACAGUGCCAGCAUCCAUUGGAGUAGAUUGGGCCGCCUCAUUAUGGGCUGGGUUGAUAUCUAUUUCAGCAUUUGGGCUAGAGGUAGCCCGCAUCUCAUUGGAGUCCAACAACAUGUCUCUCACUUCGGGCUCUCCUUGGCCAUCAGGUAUAUUGUUUUUGUCCCUGCGAUGGCUCCAGAGGAUGAGGCGUCCUGGUCAUCAUCGUAGUGUUGCUCAAUUCCAAAAGCCUCUUCAUAAGCCCCAGGGAGAGCACCUGCGAGUUCGUCUUUGUAUGAAGUUGCAGCAAUCGAACGUUCGCCAGUUGCGAUAGGAGCUGCAGGGGUGACACCUCCAGACGCAGUGGAUCUUGCAUUGGUGCUCAGAAGAUGGGGUUGAUCAGAAUGAGAGUCCUUGAUGCGUUUGUUACUCCUUCGAAUUUCAUCAGCUUCCUCUGUCGAAAUGUCACGAGUUUCCCCUUGGGAAGGGAGAUGGGUGGGAGGGAGGAGAGGCAGAGAGAGAACACGCCAUUAAAUGUUAGGAACAUUACGCAAAAAGGAGAAGAAAUGCCAUUCAAUUUUGCCAGCUGUUAUUGUUGAAAAGCCUUAAAACAAACAGGGCUUCCAACAUUGUAGUAAGGUAUGGUUUUUACUUGCCUUCGGUUCAUGAUUUUGUAGUCGACAAGAAAGACCCUUGACACUGUGAAGUUUGCUUUGAGAGGUGGAAAUGGUGAACCCCAUCUCUUAUUGAUAUGUUUAGAAUUGAUGAAUUAAGAACUGUUGAUUUGAGUUAUA